rnacentral:rRNA from 1 species
UACGUAGGGUGCAAGCGUUGUCCGGAAUUAUUGGGCGUAAAGAGCUCGUAGGCGGUUUGUCACGUCUGCUGUGAAAACUCGGGGCUUAACUCCGGGCCUGCAGUGGGUACGGGCAGACUAGAGUGCGGUAGGGGAGACUGGAAUUCCCGGUGUAGCGGUGAAAUGCGCAGAUAUCAGGAGGAACACCGGUGGCGAAGGCGGGUCUCUGGGCCGUAACUGACGCUGAGGAGCGAAAGCGUGGGGAGCGAACAGG